UGCCCAGCAACUCCUAUCCUUACCUCCACGUGGUACCGGCCGGAAACUAUGAGCAACCUUAGGGAAGAUCGGGUAGCCAACCCCGGUGGGAACUUUGGUCAUAGGCUGACAGGGAAGG
rnacentral:ribozyme from 1 species